UGAUGUGUGUGAGUGUGUCGCCCAGACAAAGAAGAACAAAGGGGAAACCCUAGUUCAUAAUGAAUCAGCCAAAUGAUAAGGAAAUCGAAGAUGAAUAGGAUGCAUGUGUCAAGAUUUUCGUUCUCCUAUGUGUUCCUCACAAGCAAGAACGUGUCAAGGAGAGCUCAAGCAUAGGAGGAUAACGGGUCAAGAUAAGGCAAGGUGACAAAUACACUUAUUGGGGUACUCAAGGUAAGUGAUUUCCGUAGUCACUUCUUAGUUUGUUUAAGUAAUACAAUGCUUUAUUUAAUUAGACAUGAUGUUUGAUGUCAAUUAUGUGUUGAAGUCUUUCGUUGUGCAUAAUGGGAAUAAAGUUGAUUAAAACGCCCUUGAUGGGUAUGUUGGCGAACAAUCUUAAAAGUAGACUAUAAGGAAGCUAUUCGAUUAGUGUAAUGGUUAUGGUCAAGUGUGAAAAUGUGGAGUAUGGUUUUGUAUGUCAUAAACCACUUAAUGCGUAAAUACCCAUAACGGGUCAAAAUAAGCUUUUGAGCGAUAAUGCGCUAAGAGUAGGCAAGACAUCCAAGAAUUCAAUCCUUAUGAUAAAUAAUGUUGAUAUUAAAAGGCUUAUGAGGAGUCGAGGUUAAAUAGUCAGAUUAUUUCUAAUAAAUGCAAGAACUGGUCAAAACUUGUGAAAAGGUAGUAAGUCGAUAGUGCAUAAGAUAAGAAUUUUCUUAAUCCGGGUAUGGGUUUUCAAGUUUAUAUGAUAGAUUGUGAAUUUACAAGCAUGUAGGAAGAAACGGGAGGUUAAACGGACAAUCGGGUUAAAAGUUAUGCGAGUUUUCGUGUGUUCGAACGAUAAAAACAACACAGCAUGAAAACCAGCAUUUGAGAGGCCGUCGCCGACGCCCCCUAGGGCCGUCGCCGACGCCUCAUGCAAAACCAGUUUUCUCCGACGCUCUAAUUUGCUGUCUACGGACCCUCACCCGACGGACAAAACUAGAGGCGUCGCCGACGGUCCGAUGAGGCGUCGGCGACGGUGCCUCUGUUCCUGAUUUCUGUUUUCGCCGUUUCGCGCUCCCGGGUGAUCUUGUUUUCGACCCGUUGCUUCGUAAAGUUUCCAAAGGGCUUCGUAAACUUUGUCAGACUUAAGAAAGCACCACCUAAAUAGGUAACUAAGAACACAAGUUCAUGUGAGGGUGUGGAUCUAUAAACAAUUAAAUUAUGUGGUCGAAUGUGUUAGAGCGUGUUAUACGGGUGAGAAAAUAAAACUCGUUCAUAAGGAUGCUUAUAGAUAAAUUAUUGUGCGUGAUUAAAGUACAAUAAUUGAAGGUGGUUGGGUGAGUAUGACUCGAAUGCUCGUAUGGAGGCAUAUGAUUGUAGAGUGUAAGAGUAGUUACCAAUGUUUAUGUGAAGAUGUAAGUUUUCAAUACGUUGGGGAAUAAGCGUUGCUAACUGUUUUGCUUUCGAGAAUGGUCUUAGAAAUGCAGGUAUGUAAGUGAUGUAUUCACGAAGGUUGGAGUCCUGGUGUACGGAACGAAUUCGAAGAACGUGCUAUUGGGGUUCCAUUCAUUGAUAGAAGGCUAUGUGAUCAUUAGUUACUAUGAAAUUGUUUAAAGUGUAUAGUGUUACCAUUUCACUAACCAUGUUGGUUAUAUAUGGUGAACGCAGGUUAGUCAGAUCAUUAUUAUUACCAUGGGAGAUAAGUGGACAACGAUCGAGUUGAAGACUAUGGAUUGUACGGGGAAGUGGCGAUAUAGAUGUAAUUAUAUGUUAAUGUAGUUUUUGGUCUAUAACGAAGGAUGUAUUUAGUUAAAGAAAGAUUGAUUUAAAUGAUUUAAGGCACAUUAGAAUAACUAUAAAGGAAGAAAUUUUAUAGUUC
rnacentral:lncRNA from 1 species